rnacentral:rRNA from 1 species
UACGUAGGGGGCGAGCGUUGUCCGGAAUCAUUGGGCGUAAAGCGCGUGUAGGCGGCCCGGUAAGUCCGCUGUGAAAGUCCAGGGCUCAACCCUGGGAUGCCGGUGGAUACUGUCGGGCUCGAGUCCGGAAGAGGCGAGUGGAAUUCCUGGUGUAGCGGUGAAAUGCGCAGAUAUCAGGAGGAACACCAAUGGCGAAGGCAGCUCGCUGGGACGUGACUGACGCUGAGGUGCGAAAGCGUGGGGAGCAAACAGG